GACCGACCGCAGGCAUGGUCACAUGCCCAAAACAGUUCCAGAGAAUUGGAUUGGUCUAGUUCGGUAGUUUGAAAAUGAACAAACUACCGAACAGAGUCAAUAGUUUUACCGUGGAGCUUGUUCCCCUCAUCCCGAUUAAUGAUCUCACCGAACAGUGCUCUUCUAAGUUGAAUAAAACUGAAAGCAGGCCAUGAUGGGAGUCCAGCG